GAAAAUACAAACAAACUUGCAUAAAAUGUGUUCUUUGUUUGUUUAACAGCAUGGUUUUAAAAAAUAUUUAGUACGUUUUCUCUCAAUUUUGCCGAAAAUUAUAUAGAAAAACUCCUGAAAUUAAUUAUACAAUACACUUAAAGGAGUUGGGACUGAUUUUAAUAAGACUGUGUUCUGAAUUCAAUAAUAAUUUAAAAAGGCAUUUUCAUGUCCUAAAAACUUUCAAAAAUCAGGAGCAGUAUUUUUUGUUUCGGUAUUGAUGUUUCCUAGUUAGUGGGUUUUUUUUUUUGCAUCAAUUAAACCUCUUAUUAGAUCACAUGACCUACAUUAUGUACUUAAAACAAUGCAAUCAGCAUCAGACCUUCAUCUUUAUU